AGAGUUUGAUCCUGGCUCAGAGUGAACGCUGGCGGUAGGCCUAACACAUGCAAGUCGAACGGCAGCACAGAGGAGCUUGCUCCUUGGGUGGCGAGUGGCGGACGGGUGAGGAAUACAUCGGAAUCUACUCUGUCGUGGGGGAUAACGUAGGGAAACUUACGCUAAUACCGCAUACGACCUACGGGUGAAAGCAGGGGAUCUUCGGACCUUGCGCGAUUGAAUGAGCCGAUGUCGGAUUAGCUAGUUGGCGGGGUAAAGGCCCACCAAGGCGACGAUCCGUAGCUGGUCUGAGAGGAUGAUCAGCCACACUGGAACUGAGACACGGUCCAGACUCCUACGGGAGGCAGCAGUGGGGAAUUUUGCACAAUGGGGGAAACCCUGAUGCAGCAAUGCCGCGUGAGUGAAGAAGGCCUUUGGGUUGUAAACUGCUUUUGUACGGAACGAAAAAGCUCUUACUAAUACUAGGAGUCCAUGACGGUACCGUAAGAAUAAGCACCGGCUAACUACGUGCCAGCAGCCGCGGUAAUACGUAGGGUGCAAGCGUUAAUCGGAAUUACUGGGCGGAAUUGACCGGGGACCCCGCACAAAGCGGUGGAUGAUGUGGGUUUAAUUCGAUGCAACGCGAAAAACCUUACCCACCUUUGACAUGUACGGAAGUUACCAGAGAUGGUUUCGUGCUCGAAAGAGAACCGUAACACAGGUGCUGCAUGGCUGUCGUCAGCUCGUGUCGUGAGAUGUUGGGUUAAGUCCCGCAACGAGCGCAACCCUUGUCAUUAGUUGCUACGAAAGGGCACUCUAAUGAGACUGCCGGUGACAAACCGGAGGAAGGUGGGGAUGACGUCAAGUCCUCAUGGCCCUUAUAGGUGGGGCUACACACGUCAUACAAUGGCUGGUACAGAGGGUUGCCAACCCGCGAGGGGGAGCCAAUCCCAUAAAACCAGUCGUAGUCCGGAUCGCAGUCUGCAACUCGACUGCGUGAAGUCGGAAUCGCUAGUAAUCGCGGAUCAGAAUGUCGCGGUGAAUACGUUCCCGGGUCUUGUACACACCGCCCGUCACACCAUGGGAGCGGGUUCUGCCAGAAGUAGUUAGCCUAACCGUAAGGAGGGCGAUUACCACGGCAGGGUUCGUGACUGGGGUGAAGUCGUAACAAGGUAGCCG
rnacentral:rRNA from 1 species